rnacentral:rRNA from 1 species
UGGUGGAGUGAUUUGUCUGGUUAAUUCCGUUAACGAACGAGACCUUAACCUACUAACUAGCUACACGGAUUCAUUGCGAAUACGUUGUGGGCUUCUUAGGGGGACUGCCCUGGUUGCACAGGGAGGAAGUGUGAGGCAAUAACA